UGGUCAGUGAGAUACGGGGGUUGGUUGGUCAGUGAGAUACAGUGGGUGGUUGGUCAGUGAGAUACAGGGGUUGGUUGGUCAGUCAGUGGGUGGUUGGUCAGUGAGAUACGGGGGUGGUUGGUCAGUGGGUGGUUGGUCAGUCAGUUACGGGGGUGGUUGGUCAGUGAGAUACGGGGGGUGGUUGGUCAGUCAGUGAGAUAUGGGGGUUGGUCGGGACCUCCACGGCACAAAGUGAGGAGAAAGACGUGUUCAAAACUCAAUCCUGUCAUUUAAUAAUACCAUGAUUAGAAACAUUAUUAUAUUACGUU
ensembl:lncRNA